GGGUCAGUAGGUUGGUCGUGCCACCGGUACGUACUGGUCUCACUGAUUCCUCCUUCCUGAAGAACCGUAAUGCCAUUAAUUUGGUGUUGCGGGGAAACAGGACUGUUACUUUGAAAAAAUUAGAGUGUUUAAAGCAAGCUAACGCUUGAAUACAUUAGCAUGCAAUAAUGAAAUAGGACGAUCGAUCCUAUUUUGUUGGUUUCUAGGAUUGACGUA
rnacentral:rRNA from 1 species